rnacentral:rRNA from 1 species
UGGGGGAUAUUGCACAAUGGGCGAAAGCCUGAUGCAGCGACGCCGCGUGGGGGAUGAAGGCCUUCGGGUUGUAAACUUCUUUUGCUCUGAACAAGGCAUGCCUUUGGGGUGUGUUGAGUGUAGGGGUUGAUUAGCGCCGGCUAACUACGUGCCAGCAGCCGCGGUAAUACGUAGGGCGCGAGCGUUGUCCGGAAUUAUUGGGGGUAAAGGGCUUGUAGGUGGCUGGUUGCGUCUGUCGUGAAAGCGCAUGGCUUAACUGUGGGUUUGCGGUGGGAACGGGCUGGCUUGAGUGCAGUAGGGGGGGCUGGAAUUCCUGGUGGGGAGGUGGAAUGCGAGGAUAUCAGGAGGAAUACCGGUGGCGAAGGCGGGUCUCUGGGCGGUUACUGACGCUGAGGGGCGAAAGCGUGGGGAGCGAACAGG